UACAGAGGGUGCGAGCGUUAAUCGGAAUUACUGGGCGUAAAGGGCGCGUAGGUGGAGUUGUAAGUCGGAUGUGAAAUCCCCGGGCUUAACCUGGGAAUGGCAUACGAUACUGUGGCUCUAGAGUUGAAGAGAGGGAAGUGGAAUUUCCGGUGUAGCGGUGAAAUGCGUAGAUAUCGGGAGGAACACCUGUGGCGAAAGCGGCUCACUGGACCACAACUGACGCUGAGGCGCGAAAGCUAGGGGAGCAAACAGG
rnacentral:rRNA from 1 species